AUGAAGAGCCUAGAUGAUUUUACUGCAACGGUACUAAAAGGAUAUCUCGAGGCUUUGACUGCUGCUUUAUGUAUGAACAUUUAUGUGGUAGGGCUGAAUCAGCUAUAUGACAUUCAGAUUGACAAGAUCAACAAGCCAGGUCUUCCAUUGGCAACUGGGGAAUUUUCAGUAGCAACUGGAGUAUGUUUAGUAGUCACAUUCCUGAUCAUGAGCUUUAGCAUCGGAAUACGUUCCGGAUCCGUGCCACUGAUGUGUGCUUUAGUUGUCAGCUUCCUUCUUGGAAGUGCAUACUCCAUUGAGGCUCCGUUGCUCCGGUGGAAACGGCAUGCGCUCCUCGCUGCAUCCUGUAUCCUAUUUGUGAGGGCUAUAUUGGUCCAGUUGGCUUUCUUUGCACAUAUGCAGCAACAUGUUCUGAAAAGGCCCUUGGCAGCAACAAAAUCACUGGUGUUUGCAACAUUGUUCAUGUGUUGCUUCUCUGCCGUCAUAGCUCUAUUCAAGGAUAUUCCUGAUGUUGAUGGAGACCGAGAUUUUGGCAUCCAAUCCUUGAGUGUGAGAUUGGGGCCACAAAGAGUGUAUCAGCUCUGCAUAAGCAUACUGUUAACAGCCUAUGGGGCUGCCACUGUAGUAGGAGCUUCAUCCACACACCUACUUCAAAAGAUCAUCACUGUGUCUGGCCAUGGCCUGCUUGCUGUGACACUUUGGCAGAGAGCGCGGCACCUUGAGGUUGAAAACCAAGCGCGUGUCACAUCAUUUUACAUGUUCAUUUGGAAGCUAUUCUAUGCAGAGUAUUUCCUUAUACCGUUUGUGCAGUAA
rnacentral:rRNA from 1 species